rnacentral:rRNA from 1 species
AAUAGCCUAACGGCUGAACCAGCAACUUGGAGGAAUGUAUAGCAGUAGCUAAUUGCAUCAGCUAUUUGCUGGUGCAAUAUCGAAUUGAAUAAAAUUCUAGGCAGAGCUAUGAUAAUGACAUUGUCUGCCUAUGUGUCUUGACAAAAUUACGUGCCAGCAGUCGCGGUAAUACGUAGAAGACUAGUGUUAUUCAUCUUUAAUAGGUUUAAAGGGUACCUAGACGGUGAAUCAAGCCUUCAAAGGAACUGAUUUACUAGAGUUACUUGUAAGGGGGUAUUAAAGUACUAAUGGUGGAGAGAUGAAAUUUGUUUAUACCAUUUCGAGAGAAAAUGCCGGCACAGAUAUAGGCGAAAGCAUCCCCUUAUGCGAUAACUGACGUUGAAGGACGAAGGCUUUGUGUCGCGAACAGGAUUAGAUACCCCAGUAGUCAAAGCAGAAAAUGAUGAAUGUCAUAGAUUAGAUCCCUGAUUAUUUAUUCUAUAAAUGAAAGUGUAAGCAUUCCACCUCAAGAGUAAUUUGGCAACAUUGGAACUGAAAUCAUUAGACCGUUUCUGAAACCAGUAGUGAAGUAUGUUAUUUAAUUUGAUAAUCCGCAAAAAACCUUACCACAAUUUGAAUAUUUAUAUUUUUAUAUAUUUACAAGCGUUGCACGGCUGUCUUCAGUUAAUGUCGUGAGAUUUUGGCUUUCCAUUAAAUUAACGUAAACCCUUGCUUUAUUUUCAUAUAAAGUAGUUCUCCACUAAUUGGAUUAGAUAACAGGGACUAGGACAAGUCAUCAUGGCCUUAAUAUUGUGGGCUAUAGACGUGCCACAUGUACCUCACAAAAGGAUGUGAAAUUGUGAAAUUGAGCUAAUCCCCCAAAAUUGGUUAAACACUGAAAAU